CAACCAUAGCCCUUGGGUGUUGUACGCUCCGGAAGUGCAGUAUGUGUCGUUCCUUAAUUUGUGUUUAUCAGUAGUGUGGCAAGAUUUCCUGAGCACUUCGGCUACCCAUGGAUGAGGUGCAGGUGCGUCUGGCUGAGUAAAAGACCCCCGUGAUCUGUGACGGACAGACCUCUCCCUGAAGAAUGAGCGACGGCUGAGUGAGGUCUUCACUGUUGACUGGUGACUUGGCUGGUGAGUUGGCACGGAGGUGGACUGAAGGAAUACGAG